rnacentral:rRNA from 1 species
GACGAACGCUGGCGGCGUGCCUAAUACAUGCAAGUAGAACGCACAGGAUGCACCGUAGUUUACUACACCGUAUUCUGUGAGUUGCGAACGGGUGAGUAACGCGUAGGUAACCUGCCUGGUAGCGGGGGAUAACUAUUGGAAACGAUAGCUAAUACCGCAUAAGAACAUUUACUGCAUGGUAGAUGUUUAAAAGGUGCAAGAGCAUCACUACCAGAUGGACCUGCGUUGUAUUAGCUAGUUGGUGGGGUAACGGCUCACCAAGGCGACGAUACAUAGCCGACCUGAGAGGGUGAUCGGCCACACUGGGACUGAGACACGGCCCAGACUCCUACGGGAGGCAGCAGUAGGGAAUCUUCGGCAAUGGACGGAAGUCUGACCGAGCAACGCCGCGUGAGUGAAGAAGGUUUUCGGAUCGUAAAGCUCUGUUGUAAGAGAAGAACGAGUGUGAGAGUGGAAAGUUC